rnacentral:rRNA from 1 species
UACGUAGGGGGCGAGCGUUAUUCGGAUUUACUGGGCGUAAAGGGUGCGUAGGCGGGUCUUUAAGUCAGGGGUGAAAUCCUGGAGCUCAACUCCAGAACUGCCUUUGAUACUGAGGAUCUCGAGUUCGGGAGAGGUGAGUGGAACUGCGAGUGUAGAGGUGAAAUUCGUAGAUAUUCGCAAGAACACCAGUGGCGAAGGCGGCUCACUGGCCCGAUACUGACGCUGAGGUGCGAAAGCGUGGGGAGCAAACAGG